GACGAACGCUGGCGGCGUGCCUAACACAUGCAAGUCGAGCGGGGUUGAAGCGAGAGGUAACUCGAACUUCUACCUAGCGGCGGACGGGUGAGUAACGCGUGGGCAACCUGCCUCAAGGUCUGGGAUAACAGCCCGAAAGGGCUGCUAAUACCGGGUAUGCUUGUGGCCUCGCAUGGGGCUAUGAGCAAAGGGGAAACCCGCCUUGAGAUGGGCCCGCGUCCCAUCAGCUAGUUGGUGAGGUAACAGCUCACCAAGGCGACGACGGGUAGCCGGCCUGAGAGGGUGACCGGCCACACUGGGACUGAGACACGGCCCAGACUCCUACGGGGGGCAGCAGUGGGGGAUCUUGCACAAUGGGCGAAAGCCUGAUGCAGCGACGCCGCGUGAGCGAAGAAGGCCUUCGGGUUGUAAAGCUCUGUCUGGAGGGACGAAGGAAGUAGACGGUACCUCCGGAGGAAGCCGACGGCUAACUACGUG
rnacentral:rRNA from 1 species